rnacentral:rRNA from 1 species
AGAGUUUGAUCCUGGCUCAGGAUGAACGCUGGCGGCGGGCUUAACACAUGCAAGUCGAACGAAGCAUUUAAGGACGAUUCUUCGGAUGAGGACUUUUAUGACUGAGUGGCGGACGGGUGAGUAACGCGUGGGUAACCUGCCCUAUACAGGGGGAUAACAGUUAGAAAUGACUGCUAAUACCGCAUAAGCGCACUAGAACCGCAUGGUUCGGUGUGAAAAACUGAGGUGGUAUAGGAUGGACCCGCGUCUGAUUAGCUUGUUGGUGAGGUAACGGCUCACCAAGGCGACGAUCAGUAGCCGGCCUGAGAGGGCGACCGGCCACAUUGGGACUGAGACACGGCCCAAACUCCUACGGGAGGCAGCAGUGGGGAAUAUUGCACAAUGGGGGAAACCCUGAUGCAGCGACGCCGCGUGAGUGAAGAAGUAUUUCGGUAUGUAAAGCUCUAUCAGCAGGGAAGAAAAUGACGGUACCUGACUAAGAAGCCCCGGCUAACUACGUGCCAGCAGCCGCGGUAAUACGUAGGGGGCAAGCGUUAUCCGGAUUUACUGGGUGUAAAGGGAGCGUAGGUGGCAUGGUAAGCCAGAAGUGAAAACCCAGGGCUCAACUCUGUGGAUUGCUUUUGGAACUAUCAAGCUAGAGUGCUGGAGGGGUAAGCGGAAUUCCUAGUGUAGCGGUGAAAUGCGUAGAUAUUAGGAAGAACACCGGUGGCGAAGGCGGCUUACUGGACAGAAACUGACACUGAGGCUCGAAAGCAUGGGUAGCGAACAGGAUUAGAUACCCUGGUAGUCCAUGCCGUAAACGAUGAGUGCUAAGUGUUGGGAGGUUUCCGCCUCUCAGUGCUGCAGCUAACGCAUUAAGCACUCCGCCUGGGGAGUACGACCGCAAGGUUGAAACUCAAAGGAAUUGACGGGGGCCCGCACAAGCGGUGGAGCAUGUGGUUUAAUUCGAAGCAACGCGAAGAACCUUACCAGGUCUUGACAUCCAGUGCAAACCUAAGAGAUUAGGUGUUCCCUUCGGGGACGCUGAGACAGGUGGUGCAUGGCUGUCGUCAGCUCGUGUCGUGAGAUGUUGGGUUAAGUCCCGCAACGAGCGCAACCCUUGUCAUUAGUUGCCAUCAUUAAGUUGGGCACUCUAAUGAGACUGCCGGUGACAAACCGGAGGAAGGUGGGGAUGACGUCAAGUCAUCAUGCCCCUUAUGACCUGGGCUACACACGUGCUACAAUGGACGGUACAACGAGAAGCGAACCUGCGAAGGCAAGCGGAUCUCUUAAAGCCGUUCUCAGUUCGGACUGUAGGCUGCAACUCGCCUACACGAAGCUGGAAUCGCUAGUAAUCGCGGAUCAGCACGCCGCGGUGAAUACGUUCCCGGGCCUUGCACACACCGCCCGUCA